AAACAUAAACAUAUUCCAAUUUUCAGGUUAUCGAUAUUAGAGGUCCCUGCUACUGUGUUGCAUACGCCAGUAUGUGCCGUUAUUUAGCUAUGAUCAAAGUACAAUCCACUUCCAAACAAGGAGAGUAUGUAAAUUUUCGUGUAAUAGUGUUAACGAGAUGUCAGAGAGUUCGAAAAAGACAAGGAUUUAGAAAAAGAAAUAAAGGAAAGGAAAGAAGUCAUUAAAAAAACACAGGACCUAGAGAAACGUGAAGAAUUAUGUAAGGAAUUGGAAAUCUCAGAAAUCAAAGAAAAAAAAUCGUGCGUUGGGAAAUAUCAGAUUCGUUGGUGAACUGUUCAACCUGAAGAUGUUGACUGAAAACAUUAUGCAUGAUUGCGUGUUCAAACUUUUGAGAGCUCAGGAUGAAAAAAGCUUAGAAUGUCUGUGCAGGCUUCUCUCAACCAUUGGAAAAGAAUUGGACACAAAAAAGCCAUGGAGGAGGAGCACGAAACUCCAUGGAACAAGAAAAAUCCAAUGCACCAAGCAACAGGUUCUCUGCACUUAGUAAAUCAGAGGAUGACAGUAGGGGUAGAUUUGGCACUAGACCAGCACGUGGGGAUAGCCGUGGCCGAGGCUCUGGUGGAUUUGAUUGCCCACAAAGUCGAGGUAUCACACCCAGGUCUUCAAUGGAGCAAGAGAAGGAACGAGCCCUUGCAGCUGUCAGGGAUGUUGUUGGGGGUAAAACCAAACCACGUCAAGGCCAGAGCAGAGAGACCAGUAGAGGGCGAGAACCUCACAGAGUGGAGAUUGAAAAGAGUAGCAAAACAGCUCCACCCACUGCCAAAGAGCUUACUGAUGAAGAGAUGGAAAAGAAAACCAAAACUAUUUUGGAUGAAUAUCUACAUUUACAAGAUAUCAAGGAGGCCAUUCUCUGUGUUGAGGAGCUGAAAUCCCCAUCUGUGAUGCACACCUUUGUUAGUUCAGCAGUGAACUAUGUCUUGGAGAGAUCCAACAUAGCAAGGAACCAGACUGGCCUUUUAUUGCAUAAUCUAGUCAAAAAGAAUGUUUUAUCUGUCCCAGUGUAUAUUCAAAAAGCUUGAUUAACUUCUCAUGGGAGAAAACUCAAAACAUUGAUUCUAAGAAAAAAGAAUUGUACAUCUAAUAUUGGGGAAAUGUUACUCUUACUCUGUUCUGUUUUGUAGUCUUACUGAAGUAAUUCAGUAUGCUGAAGACAUGGAAAUUGGGAUUCCAAAAAUCUGGCAGUAUUUUGGUGAGCUGAUUGGUCCAAUGGUUCAAAAUGGAAGUGUUCCUCUAAACUUCCUUCGUAAGGUUGCCGAACCUCUGAAAGAAAACAACAAAGCUGGACUUUUAGUUGCUGAGGUUUUACAUGCUGCUAGCCAUAGAGAGAAAGUUGAGUUUACUGCUGGAGAUGACAGUCAACCAAGCAUCCCCAUAGUUUCCAUAUCCAUGGAAACUAUUCGGGACAAACUGCAUCAACUCCUCUUCAAGGCAAAAGCUGAAAAUGAAGAGAUCUUUGACUGGAUUGAGGAGAGUGUUGAUGAUCCAACGAAGAAUAGCAACACGUUUAUCCGUGCUUUGAUGACAUCUGUCUGUGAAAGUGCAAUAACAGGCUUUGGAAGCAGUGCACGUGUGUUACCUGAUGUUAUCAAGAACAGAGGAGAUUUGCUUCAUAAAUACUUGGACCACCGAGCAGAAUCGGAAUUGCAAGCACUUUAUGCAAUACAAUCCCUGGUGCACAAGUUGGGACAUCCACAAGGAGUAUUGCGCACACUGUUUGAUACACUGUAUGAUGAAGACAUUAUUUCUGAGGAUGGAUUCAAUCAGUGGGAGAAAAGCAAAGACCCUAAUGAACAAGAAGGAAAAGGUGUAGCAAUGAAACAAGUUGUACAGUUCUUCACCUGGCUUCGUGAAGCUGAGGAUGAUAUCAGUGACAGCUGAGGAUAAUUUAAUCAUAGAUCUUGAAGAAAUGGAGAAGAGUGGAAUUCAUUUAAAUACGAUUAUAUAUUUUAAUUAAUUAUGUGAUAAUUAAGUGAAAACGAAUGUUUCUUGUAGAUUUCAUUUUCUUGGAACGAUUUUCUUGAUUUCAUUGAUAUUAGUGGACAUCAAUUUUCUUUUAUUUAGCGAAAUUUGAGCGUAUAUUUCUGAUCAAUGGUUUUGUCAAUAUAAUAAGUAAUCAGGCAUUUCACUUCAAUAAAAACCUUUUUGUGUAUCGACUUAACAAAGAAUUUUACUUAAAAAAUCAUAUGCAACGAAUAUGAAAAAAGUACAACGUAUUUCAUUAGUCUAUAUUUCAUACAUGGUGAUCUUACCAUUUUUUAAAAUUCGUAUAUGCUCAUAAUCAUGUUAUCACAGGUUGUGUUCAAAUAAAUGAGUAUUAAUUUUC
rnacentral:misc_RNA from 1 species